CAUUUUUCAUUUCUCGUCAUCUCACGAGUCGUCUCGUCAUCCCGCUUUCGUCACCCUUCUCUCCACCUCCUCAUGUUCAGUCUAGAUCUACCCAUUGCCCUUUCUUCCUGGGCGAGCUCGCCUCAACCGCCGGGAGCUCGCCGCUAGAUAUGGUUUCCUUGUCCUCUUCGUCUCUUUCAUCCCCUCUGUGCUGCACUCCCAUGCCGACGCCGCCCCCAUCUCCGCCGGCUGCCGCGGUGGUUUGAGCUGUGCACGUGGCCAUGGUCUGCAUCUGCAACCUCUGCGGCGUAUGUCUCGUGGUCACCCGGCAGCUGCUCUCCAACGACACAGAACAACGCCACCCGUGCCACGACGGCCGCCUCCAUCAAAGCCUCUUGCUUCAUCUCCCUAGAUCUCGUUGCUUAGGUAUGGUUUUGUUUUCUACCAAUCUUUCUUGUCUGCAAUUUAUCCCUAUGCAAAGGGUUCAACUGAGUGCUAGCUAUUUUUCUUUAUUUGACAUCAUGAACUGCUGGUUCAAGCAAAACUAUUUUCCUUUGCCUGGUUCCUUCUAAGAUUUUCUGUACCUGUUUUUUUUAAAACUAAUUAUUAUAUUUAUCGUUUGUUUGACAUCUCUGUCGAGACUGAAGAAAAACGUACUCGUCUGUAGAUAUGGUUAGUGUAUUAUCUGCUUCACCAUUUCCUCUUUGAUGCGUCUAAGCUAACUGCUUUUUAGCAAAAUGAUCUACACGGAUUGCUUCUGUAUUUAGCAGUGGUACUAUACAAUGUUGACGAGUAUUACAAUCCUUAACUGCAUGUUAUUAGUAAAAUGAUGAGAAGAUUAGCUUUCUUUGGCUUUUGCUCUUGGCCAUUUGUUUCUAUGCAUCAUUGUUUGAGUGGUUAGUUUGAAAGAAAUUAUUAUUAUUAUUUAAUUUGGUAUGCAGUUCCAAGUGUGUUAAGGUCUUUCAUGCAGUUCCAGUUCCAGAUUUGUUCAGCUCUUUUGGGCAGUACCACGUGAAGGAGAUGUUAUAGAGAAGGCCAACUGUGAUGACAAUAAUCUGAACUCUUUAGUCCUAUAUAUCAUUGUGUAUACUUGGUGAUUUUUGUUGUGCCAAGCAGGAAAUAGCAUAGGAGGUAUCAAAAAAAAAUAUCUAGGAGAAAGGUUUGGUUACAAGAAACGGCAAUGGUAACUUCAACUUUAUAUGUCACAUAUGUGUACUGUGCACAAGAAUUGUCUAUAGGUUUGAAAGACAGGAAAUAGUAUACUUCCACCAAUAAUGUGUAUUUAACAGUAAACACAAAUCAUCAUUGGUAUUUACUCCCUCUAUACCCGAAUUUGUUGACGUUUAGGACAUGAUUGUGCUUAGCAAGGAGUAAUUAAUUAGAUGUUAGUUUUUCAUCUCUGCUUCUAAUAAAUAUGGUUGCAGAUGCAUUUCUUCCAAGAAACAAUCAAAGGCCCAAGUGUCUAGCUCCAGCGCGAUCGUUGAGUCGUGACUUGUGAGGUCCCAGGUUCAAGAGGGUAUGGAGGGAGUGUAUAGCAAGUUAGACACCAAGAAGUUUCUCCCCUAUUUUGCUUUGUCAUUUUCCAUCAAUUCGGUUGAAUAAUUUUUAUUUGAACCAUAUUAUGUUGACAUUGUGAAUUGCGCAACGGGUGUUAUCAUGUGAAUAAUUCUAACACUGAACUUUUUCAUGCGAAUGGUGUUUACCUUUUUCAGGUCCGCCUAUACGAUACUGCAUUGCAAAGAAGACCUGAGUCUCCAAUCAAGACAGUUGCUGCUGAUCCGAAUGGGUAUGAUGCCAUGAUGUCUAGAAACAACGCUGACCUACCUGUGUGCUGAGUUCUAAGUAGUCGGCAAGUUUUUAUUUUCAGAUUUGGAGACUUCUUUUUCACUCAUUCUAACUUGAAGUAUAUGAAAAAAGAGCAAUGCUUGUAGUAAUUUUUAAGGCACCACUAUGCACCCUUUCGCUGUGUUUUGAUGCUUAGUACACCCAGUAAUCUGUAUCUUGUCAUUAACAACUUUUUUUUGUACUGAGUAUACCAACAACAUUCUCAGUGGUAGCACUAAGCAGAUGCAUCUGUUUUCUUGUUCUCAA